UGGUACGGUUUAUGAAAACAAAAUAGGAGCAUGAAUUAAAAAUGACAGAUCAAUCCAGGGGAAAUAGAAGACACAAGGCUUAGUCCAGAGAGGAUAGAAGAACAUGGUGGAGCUCACGAAGCACUGGAGUACAUCUCCCUUUAUGGACAGCAAAGCUUCCCCUCAUCCCCUCCACCUGAUGGAGUGAUGGAGACGGGCCAUGCACUGGCCCCGGCUUAAAGCCCACAUGUGACAGAUGAAGACACUGGGGCUUAGGGAGCAGAAGGCCUUUGUCCCAAAUCACAAGGCCAGCGACAGUGUCAGGACCUGUCCCAGCCGCCCCUUUACCACGGCGCCAGAUGGAUGGCUCAAAUGACUUUAACCAAGAAGUGGCUCUCAUUUCCAUGGAUACCCUAGCUGGGGGUCAUCUCAGCUUUUCACCUCUCUCUCCACUUCUAAAGCCGGUGGCACUUAAGGGGUGAAUCAGCAUGACUGUGGCCGACCAAGACAGAGGGUGCAUCCCAAACCUGGCCAUGGCAUCACUGGUGUGGCUCACACAAACAGAAGUGAUCUGAGAAGACGAUUGGAGAACUUGAGCUGGAUUUGCAAGGGCUCCACUGAUGAGCGCCCCAUCUGGGCACGAGUGUUUCUGUAAAACCAAGCCAUCAACCAAUAUCUUCGUUCUUCGCCUGCAAAA